AGCCAGAGCCGCCCCUGGCCCCCUAGCCUGGGAACAUGCUUAGAAGAUGACAAUUGGGCUCCCUUCGGCCGAAAUUCCACUCCUGUGGGGGUUCUGCCAAGGAAAACAAGCCCAAGAACCAGGCAUUAAAGUGAGCCGAGCGCUGGGAAUACGUGGCUAAUGAAGCAGACAGAAUCCCUGCCCCGGUGGAGCUGAGAAGGAAACAAACAAGGCGCUGUGCGCAGACCUCACCCAGCCCUCUCGGCGACCCCGUGAGGCCAGUCCUGUGAUCAUCCCGUUCUCCAGAAUGCAGCUCAGGGAGAAGUGCGAACUCCACGGCGACAGCGACAUUGACGGUCUUGUGUCUUGCUGUGUCCCAGUGCCUGACAUCAGGAAGUGCCCAGUGAAUAUUCAUGGACUGAAUGGAUUCUUUUUGUCCCUCAGCAUAAUUUGGUGAGGAUUUAGCUGGACCAGAGCUUACAACCUUCACUGCGGGGUCCAGCUAGAGAAGUGACUUACCCAAGGCCAUCCAACUCGUAAGUGGCAGGUUGGUAUGGCCCCAAAGUCUUUGAUUUUUCCCCUCUAUUCUCGGCCGCCCCUCUGGCAUUGAGGCCCCGCAUCAGCCACGUUACCGCUACUGGGCGUGUCCUUGGCUCCUAGCGUGUCCUUGGCUCCCUCUUGAUCGGGAGGCUCAGAGAGGUAAAGUGACUUGCCCAAGGUCACGCAGCAACUAAGGGUGUGAAUUCAGGUUUUUCCACGUCUGUGUUUUGGGUACUUUCUGCUACAGCAGCUCUGUGUCUCUCCCCUCCUCCUUGCCUCUUUUCGGCCAAUGCAGCCGCAGCUGAAAUAUGAGGCCGCGUGCAGCCUUCACAUCCCCAGGCUUGGCCCCCGCCGCCACCCUGGCUGGGUCGAAAGCACAGCGCCUGGUCCCACAUGCCUCAGGGAUGAGCUACGGAGAGUGUGACCAGGCCCAGCUGACACAUCUCAGAGCAGAUGUGGGUCGGCCUCCCACGGGUCCAGCUGGCCCCAGCCAAGUCUCAGCCCAUCCCCCACCCCCUACCCCCAGGGCGUGGUGCCGGGCCUUGUGGGGCAAAGGGGGGAAGAGAACAGUGGCUCCGAGAAGUCCACGUGAGGCACAGAAUAGGCAGCUCAGAGCUGGAACCAGGCCAGGGCCCUGGUGGUAUGCGAGAACACGAGACUGGCUCCCGUUGAGAACGCUCUGCCACCAGGGGCCAGCGGGGAUUUUAAAUCGAGAAAGCAGGUCAGGGUCCGACAAUCAAUAGUUACGCUUCCUUGACCUCAGUUUUGGAGAGACAAGAAGGAGCGGUGGGGACUGGGGCACACACCCUAAGCUGAGUUUGGCCCCUUGGGAAUGAGGACCCCGGGCAAUCAGAUCUUCAGACCCUCUGAUUUCCAAGGGGAGCUGGAGACAGAUUCUUAGAAAGCAUCUACACAUUUUUUAAUGGCUCCGUUCAUUAAAAAAUUCUCUGUGGGCCCAACAAAGCCCACCCGAGGGCCAGGUUCAGCCCCCUGGGCCUGCAGUCUGCACCCCAGGCCCAGCCUAAUAGGGCGGCCGGGGAAGCUCCUAAUCACAGCCCAAUCGUGAGUCAGGAUAUGGGGCCCGGACUGAGGCCAGGACCUCGAGCCAGCUGCUCUGAGGUACUUCGGAGAAGGUUCCUGUCAUCUGGCCCCCUCCUCCACCCCAUGGUGAGGGGGAUGAGCCUCCCCCUCCCGCCCGCCCCGCUCCGGCUGGCUGUGGGGGGAAGGAGCCUGGGCGGGACUAAGGUCUCCUUUCCCACGUGGGACACAGCUGUGGAUGUGUCUGCCAGGCAGAUCCUAAUUUCCCUCUCCCGUCCCCCAUGUCCCUGCAGCACCAGGAAGGAGGUGACUCCCUUCUUGGGCACUGAACCGUCCCCCGCAGCCCUGCCUUCACAGCAGCUCGUGUCCCUGCCCCACCCCUUGUGCUCCAAAAGUUACAGGCCUCCACAGGCAUCGCUGACUCUUCACCACGUCCCUUCGUGACCAAUUUCCAGAUGAGGAAACUGAGACUCGGAGGGAAAAUGUCUGGGCCAGGGCCCUCCAGCAAGCACACAGAGGACCUGCUCUCAAACACAGGCCUCACACACUUGACCAUGGGAACCUCACCCCGUCUCUUCCUGAUAGAACCCAGCCCAGGCUCGUGGCUCGGCCCCAGUGCGUCUUUCUGGUUUAUCUGACAAGCACCCAGGCCCUAGGCCCGGUGCCGCAUAUUUAGAAAUGAACAAAUAUCGGGGUGCCUGGGUGGCUCGGUCGGUUAAGCACCAGACUCCAUUUCGGCUCAGGUCAUGAUCUCACGAU